rnacentral:rRNA from 1 species
GAUGAACGCUGGCAGAAUGCUUAACACAUGCAAGUCUUUGGCGAAUCUGUGCUUGCACAGGCUAGCCAAGGCGGACGGGUGAGUAACGCGUAAAGAACUUGCCCUGCAGACAGGGAUAACAGACGGAAACGACUGAUAACACCUGAUACAGUUGCCGGCACGCAUGUGCCUGGCAAUGAAAAGAGAUGCUGCAGGAGAGCUUUGCGUCCUAUUAGCUUGUUGGUGAGGUGACGGCUCACCAAGGCGAUGAUAGGUAGCCGGCCUGAGAGGGUGAACGGCCACAAGGGGACUGAGAUACGGCCCUUACUCCUACGGGAGGCGGCAGUGGGGAAUAUUGGACAAUGGGGGCAACCCUGAUCCAGCAAUUCUGUGUGCACGAAGAAGGUUUUCGGAUUGUAAAGUGCUUUCAGCAGGGAAGAAGAAAGUGACGGUACCUGCAGAAGAAGCGACGGCUAAAUACGUG